ACACCGGAGAGGAGGUGAUCGGGUACAUGAGUGAAACCCGGACGCGUGAGGUGGCUGCGGGCUAGCGGCCCGUCACCACACUCAGUGCGGUGCCGGACCAGCGCGUGUGCGACGCGUGCAGCCGGCCCAAUCUCAAGCAGUCACCCGACCCGCGAGCUGCCGGUACGUCCGACCGGCUCCUCCUUCAGGAGGACCAGGCUCGCGGGUCGUCUGCG
rnacentral:sRNA from 1 species